rnacentral:misc_RNA from 1 species
GCAAACUUGGUCAUUUAGAGGAAGUAAAAGUCGUAACAAGGUUUCCGUAGGUGAACCUGCGGAAGGAUCAUUCAAAAUAAAAGUGAAAAUAUAUAUAUGGCACUUUUAAAAAAAAAUCCAUAUCCACCUUGUGUGCAAUGUAUUUAUGAAGGAGAGAGAAGGAAAUACUCUUUUUCUCUCUUUUGUAUUUCUAUAUCAACACCUUGAAACCUGUUUGUCUGAAACUAAUUAUUAUUCUUUUUUGAAUAAACUUAAUUCAAAAAUAUAACUUUCAACAACGGAUCUCUUGGCUCUCGCAUCGAUGAAGAACGCAGC